UAAUACGUAGGGUGCGAGCGUUAAUCGGAAUUACUGGGCGUAAAGCGUGCGCAGGCGGUUCGUUGUGUCGGUGGUGAAAGCCCCGGGCUUAACCUGGGAAUGGCCAUGGAAACUGGCGAACUGGAGUGUGGCAGAGGGGGGUGGAAUUCCGCGUGUAGCAGUGAAAUGCGUAGAGAUGCGGAGG
rnacentral:rRNA from 1 species